AAGCGUCCGUAGCCGGUUCAGUAAAUCUUCUGUGAAAUCGUUGGGCUCAACCUAACGGCUGGCAGGAGACACUGCUGGACUUGAGACCGGAAGGAGUGCGGAGUAUGGUGUGGGACCGGUAAAAUGGGAUAAUCACGCUAGACUACCAAUGGCGAAGGCACCGCACCAGGACGGAUCUGACGGUGAGGGACGAAAGCUAGGGGAGCGAACCGGAUUAGAUACAAACUUUUACAAAAAGUUUGUAUACAAAAGAAAUGCAAUGUGGGAUUCAACUUUGUUGAACAGCACGGAACGAUAGUUGUCGUUUGCACAUAUCUACUGCAACUAAAGUACUGCAUUUGUUGUAUACAUAUAUGGUAGAAGUUUGCUAAUUACCCGAGUAGUCCUAGCUGUAAACGCUGUGAGCAAGGUGUUGCGUAUUCCUCGGGAAUACGCAGUGUCGAAUCGAAGGAGUUAAGCUCACCACCUGGGAAGUACGGUCGCAAGGCUGAAACUUUAAGGAAUUGGCGGGGAAGCACCACAAGGGGUGCGGCGUGCGGUUUAAUCUAACUCAACACAGAAAACCUUACUAGAAGCGACGGCAGAAUGAAGGUCAGUCUGAAGGGCUUACCCAACAAGCCGAGAGGUGGUGCAUGGCCAUCGUCAGCUCGUGCCGUAAGGUGUCCUCUUAAGUGAGGUAACGAGCGAGACCUGUAUCCACAAUUGCUAACAGCUUUGUCAAGGACUGAGCACAUUGUGGAGACUGCCCUGGAAACAGGGAGGAAGGUGCAGGCUACGGUAGGUCUGUAUGCCCCGAAUCUUCUAGGCUACACGCGCGCAACAAUGACAGAGACAAUGGGUCGCGACCCCGAAAGGGGGAGCUAAUCCUCGAAACUCUGCCUCAGUUUAGAUUGAGGGUUGUAACUCACCCUCAUGACAUUGGAAUCCCUAGUAAUCAGACUUCAUCAAAGUCUGGUGAAUAUGUCCCUGCCCCUUGCACAC
rnacentral:rRNA from 1 species